CCUACGGGUGGCAGCAGUGGGGAAUAUUGGGCAAUGGGCGCAAGCCUGACCCAGCAACGCCGCGUGAAGGAAGAAGGCUUUCGGGUUGUAAACUUCUUUUCUGCGGGACGCAGAGAGUGACGGUACCUCAGGAAUAAGCCACGGCUAACUACGUGCCAGCAGCCGCGGUAAUACGUAGGUGGCCAGCGUUAUCCGGAUUUAUUGGGUGUAAAGGGCGUGUAGGGGGGAAAGUAAGUCAGAUGUGAAAACUCAGGGCUCAACCCUGGGCCUGCAUUUGAAACUGUUUGUCUUGAGUGCUGGAGAGGCAAUCGGAAUUCGGUGUGUAGCGGUGAAAUGCGUAGAUAUACGGAGGAACACCAGUGGCGAAGGCGGAUUGCUGGACAGUAACUGACGCUGAGGCGCGAAAGCGUGGGUAGCAAACAGGAUUAGAUACCCUGGUAGUC
rnacentral:rRNA from 1 species